rnacentral:lncRNA from 1 species
GAAGAAACAACAAUGGAGGAGAAAGUAAAGCUAAAAAUUAAUUGAGGUUUAAGGAGCACCUACUUGAAGCUCUUGCGCUCUGAUACCACUUGAUGGAAGCUUGCUUGAGAAGCUUCUAUGGAGGCUGGAUCUUUGAGCUUCAAUAAGGUCCUUCAAUGGUGAUUUUCCACCAUGGAGUUACAACGGAAGAUAAAGGAGAAGAUGUGAGAAGAGGCGCCAUCCACUAGGGAAUAAGCCAUGGAAGGAGAAACUUCACCACCAAGAGAGUGUCUUGGAUAAGAAGCUUAGAGAGGAAGCUUCGAUGGAGGAAGAGAAUGAGAGAUAGAGAGAUAAAUUGUCAUGGAAAAUUGAAGGAAGAAAGGGAG